rnacentral:misc_RNA from 1 species
AGAAAAGCUAAAAGCUGGAGGACUCCUAGCGAAGAACCUGACAAAUAAAUCGAAAGAUGCAGGUGGAACUUUGGAUGUUUCUCAUCAGAAAUAUCAUGAUAAAAGUGCUUANNNNNNNGCAAUCUGCAAAAUCAGUAACCAGUGUUGAUGAACAUGAACCAUCAUUUCGAUCUAAAGAAAAGAAUGGAGUCCAUGAGCUGCCUGAUCUUAAUAUGCCAGAAGCCAAGAUGUCCAUGCAAGUAACAAAACCUUCACAUGUUCACAAAAAGGAUGGUUCUAGUGCUAGGCCCAAAAGUUCAAUGCUGGAGAAUGCCAUCAGGGAAUUGGAGAAGAUGGUUGCUGAAUCAAGGCCCCCAGCUCUAGAAAG